rnacentral:rRNA from 2 species
UAGUGGCGAACGGGUGAGUAACACGUGGGCAAUCUGCCCUUCACUCUGGGACAAGCCCUGGAAACGGGGUCUAAUACCGGAUAUCACUUCCACUCGCAUGGGUGGGGGUCGAAAGCUCCGGCGGUGAAGGAUGAGCCCGCGGCCUAUCAGCUUGUUGGUGAGGUAAUGGCUCACCAAGGCGACGACGGGUAGCCGGCCUGAGAGGGCGACCGGCCACACUGGGACUGAGACACGGCCCAGACUCCUACGGGAGGCAGCAGUGGGGAAUAUUGCACAAUGGGCGAAAGCCUGAUGCAGCGACGCCGCGUGAGGGAUGACGGCCUUCGGGUUGUAAACCUCUUUCAGCAGGGAAGAAGCGAAAGUGACGGUACCUGCAGAAGAAGCGCCGGCUAACUACGUGCCAGCAGCCGCGGUAAUACGUAGGGCGCAAGCGUUGUCCGGAAUUAUUGGGCGUAAAGAGCUCGUAGGCGGUCUGUCGCGUCGGAUGUGAAAGCCCGGGGCUUAACCCCGGGUCUGCAUUCGAUACGGGCAGACUAGAGUGUGGUAGGGGAGAUCGGAAUUCCU